ACGGGAGGCAGCAGUGAGGAAUAUUGCGCAAUGGGGGCAACCCUGACGCAGCGACGCCGCGUGAGUGAGGAAGGCCUUCGGGUCGUAAAGCUCUGUCAAGAGGGAAGAAAUGCAUGGUGGUUAAUAUCUGUCAUGUUUGACGGUACCUCUAAAGGAAGCACCGGCUAACUCCGUGCCAGCAGCCGCGGUAAUACGGAGGGUGCAAGCGUUGUUCGGAAUCACUGGGCGUAAAGGGCGCGCAGGCGGCCUGAUCAGUCAGAUGUGAAAGCCCACGGCUUAACCGUGGAAGUGCAUUUGAAACUGUCAGGCUUGAGUACCAGAGGGGAAAGUGGAAUUCCCGGUGUAGAGGUGAAAUUCGUAGAUAUCGGGAGGAAUACCGGUGGCGAAGGCGACUUUCUGGCCGGAUACUGACGCUGAGGCGCGAAAGCGUGGGGAGCAAACAGGAUUAGAUACCCUGGUAGUCCACGCUGUAAACGAUGUGCACUAGAUGUAGGGGGUGUUGAUCCCCUCUGUGUCGCAGCUAACGCAUUAAGUGCACCGCCUGGGGAGUACGGUCGCAAGAUUAAAACUCAAAGGAAUUGACGG
rnacentral:rRNA from 1 species